rnacentral:rRNA from 1 species
GACGAACGCUGGCGGCGUGCUUAACACAUGCAAGUCGAACGGAAAGGCCCUGCUUUUGUGGGGUGCUCGAGUGGCGAACGGGUGAGUAACACGUGAGUAACCUGCCCUUGACUUUUGGAUAACUUCAGGAAACUGGGGCUAAUACCGGAUAGGAGCUCCUGCUGCAUGGUGGGGGUUGGAAAGUUUCGGCGGUUGGGGAUGGACUCGCGGCUUAUCAGCUUGUUGGUGGGGUAGUGGCUUACCAAGGCUUUGACGGGUAGCCGGCCUGAGAGGGUGACCGGCCACAUUGGGACUGAGAUACGGCCCAGACUCCUACGGGAGGCAGCAGUGGGGAAUAUUGCACAAUGGGCGGAAGCCUGAUGCAGCAACGCCGCGUGCGGGAUGACGGCCUUCGGGUUGUAAACCGCUUUCGCCUGUGACGAAGCGUGAGUGACGGUAAUGGGUAAAGAAGCACCGGCUGACUACGUG